UACGUAGGGUGCAGGCGUUAAUCGGAAUUACUGGGCGUAAAGGGCUCGUAGGUGGCCAACUAAGUCAGACGUGAAAUCCCUCAGCUUAACUGGGGAACUGCGUCUGAUACUGGAUGGCUUGAGAUUGGGAGAGGGAUGCGGAAUUCCAGGUGUAGCGGUGAAAUGCGUAGAUAUCUGGAGGAACACCGGUGGCGAAGGCGGCAUCCUGGACCAACACUGACACUGAGGAGCGAAAGCCAGGGGAGCAAACGGG
rnacentral:rRNA from 1 species